AUUCCAGCUCCAAUAGCGUAUAUUAAAGUUGUUGCAGUUAAAAAGCUCGUAGUUGAACCUUGGACAAAGUGCGCGUGGUCUACCGCAAGGUACGACUGCGGCGCUGCGUCUCUUUAGGGGGACUCGAUGCUUCGGUGUCGAGGUAACCCGUGUUACUGUGAAGAAAUUAGAGUGUUUAAAGCAGGCUAUCGCUUGAAUACAUCAGCAUGGAAUAACAAGUUGGACUUUGCUCCUACUUGUUGGUUUGAGGGGAAAAGUAAUGAUUAAUAGGGAUAGUCGGGGGCAUUCGUAUUCAAACGACAGAGGUGAAAUUCUUGGACCGUUUGAAGACGAACUAAGGCGAAAGCAUUUGCCAAGAAUGUUUUCAUCG
rnacentral:rRNA from 1 species